rfam:Oryza nivara chromosome 3, whole genome shotgun sequence.
AAAAAGAUAAACUCUGAUUUUCUGUGUCCAAUGUUUGACUGUCCGUUUUAUAUAAUUUUUUUAUAAUUAGUAUUUCCAUUGUUAUUAGAUGAUAAAACAUGAUUAAUACUUUAUGUAUAACUUGUCUUUUUUAAAAAAAAUUAUAAUUUAUUCAAAUAAGAUGGACGGUUAAACGUUGGACACUGAAACUCAGGGUUUGUCUUUUU